GAUGAACGCUGGCGGCGUGCUUAACACAUGCAAGUCGAACGAUGAAGCCCAGCUUGCUGGGUGUAUUAGCGGCGAACGGGUGAGUAACACGUGAGUAACCUGCCCUUAACUCUGGGAUAAGCCUGGGAAACUGGGGCUAAUACCGGAUAGGAGCGUCCACCGCAUGGGGGGGGUUGGAAAGAGUUAUCGGUUUUGGAUGGACUCGCGGCCUAUCAGCUUGUUGGUGAGGUAAUGGCUCACCAAGGCGACGACGGGUAGCCGGCCUGAGAGGGUGACCGGCCACACUGGGACUGAGACACGGCCCAGACUCCUACGGGAGGCAGCAGUGGGGAAUAUUGCACAAUGGGCGCAAGCCUGAUGCAGCGACGCCGCGUGAGGGAUGACGGCCUUCGGGUUGUAAACCUCUUUCAGUAGGGAAGAAGCGAGAGUGACGGUACCUGCAGAAGAAGCACCGGCUAACUACGUG
rnacentral:rRNA from 1 species